rnacentral:rRNA from 1 species
UACGUAGGGUGCAAGCGUUUAAUCGGAAUUACUGGGCGUAAAGCGUGCGCAGGCGGUUAUGCAAGACAGAUGUGAAAUCCCCGGGCUCAACCUGGGAACUGCAUUUGUGACUGCAUAGCUAGAGUACGGUAGAGGGGGAUGGAAUUCCGCGUGUAGCAGUGAAAUGCGUAGAUAUGCGGAGGAACACCGAUGGCGAAGGCAAUCCCCUGGACCUGUACUGACGCUCAUGCACGAAAGCGUGGGGAGCAAACAGG